UGGGGAAUUUUGGACAAUGGGCGAAAGCCUGAUCCAGCAAUGCCGCGUGUGUGAAGAAGGCCUUCGGGUUGUAAAGCACUUUUGUCCGGAAAGAAAUCCUCUGGGUUAAUACCUCGGGGGGAUGACGGUACCGGAAGAAUAAGCACCGGCUAACUACGUGCCAGCAGCCGCGGUAAUACGUAGGGUGCAAGCGUUAAUCGGAAUUACUGGGCGUAAAGCGUGCGCAGGCGGUUUUGUAAGACGGAUGUGAAAUCCCCGGGCUUAGCCUGGGAACUGCAUUCGUGACUGCAAGGCUAGAGUAUGGCAGAGGGGGGUAGAAUUCCACGUGUAGCAGUGGAAAUGCGUAGAGAUGUGGAGGAAUACCGAUGGCGAAGGCAGCCCCCUGGGCCAAUACUGACGCUCAUGCACGAAAGCGUGGGGAGCAAACAGGAUUAGAUACCCUGGUAGUCCAGCGCCCUAAACGAUGUCAACUAGUUGUUGGGGACUUCAUUUCCUUAGUAACGUAGCUAACGCGUGAAGUUGACCGCCUGGGGAGUACGGUCGCAAGAUUAAAACUUAAUGAAUUGACGGGGUCAUAGCUGUUUCCU
rnacentral:rRNA from 1 species